UACAUGGGGUGCAAACGUUGCUCGGAAUUAUUGGGCGUAAAGCGCACGUAGGCGGUUCGUUAAGUCGGAUGUGAAAGCCCUCGGCUCAACUGAGGAAGUGCACCCGAAACUGGCGAGCUUGAGUACGAAAGAGGAUCGCGGAAUUCCCGGUGUAGAGGUGAAAUUCGUAGAUAUCGGGAGGAACACCGGUGGCGAAGGCGGCGAUCUGGGUCGAUACUGACGCUGAGGUGCGAAAGCGUGGGGAGCAAACGGG
rnacentral:rRNA from 1 species